CAAAAGCUUGGUCCUGACUUUACUAUCAGCUCUAGCUAGAUUUACACAUGCAAGCAUCCGCGCCCCUGUGAGUAAGGCCCCCCCGCGUCUUCCACCUCGAAGAUUUGGAGCCGGUAUCAGGCACACCCUCUCGUAGCCCAUGACACCUCGCUUUGCCACACCCCCAAGGGAACUCAGCAGUGAUAAACAUUAAGCCAUAAGUGAAAGCUUGACUUAGUUAAAGCUAAGAGGGCCGGUAAAACUCGUGCCAGCCACCGCGGUUAUACGAGAGGCCCAAGUUGAUAGGCACCGGCGUAAAGGGUGGUUAAGGAAUAUUGCACAAUAAAGCCGAAUGCCUUCAAAGCUGUUGUACGCUAUCGAAGUCUCUGAAGCCCCACUACGAAAGUGGCUUUACCCCGCCCCGAACCCACGAAAGCUAGGGUACAAACUGGGAUUAGAUACCCCACUAUGCCUAGCUGUCAACAUUGAUAUGACAUUACACACAAUAUCCGCCCGGGUACUACGAGCAUUAGCUUAAAACCCAAAGGACUUGGCGGUGCUUUAGAUCCCUCUAGAGGAGCCUGUUUACUAGAACCGAUAAUCCCCGUUCAACCUCACCCUUCCCUGUAAUCUUUCUGCCUAUAUACCUCCGUCGCCAGUCCACCCUUUGAAGGAUGCACAGUGGGCCCCCCUGGUAAAUACCCCCAAUGUCAGGUCGAGGUGUAGCGUAUGGAAGGGGAAGUAAUGGGCUACAUUCGCUGCCUCAGCGUACCACGAAAGAUACAUUGAAAGAUGCAUCCGAAGGUGGAUCUAGUAGUAAGGAGAGAGUAGAGUGCUCUUCUGAAUAUGGCUCUUAAGCGUGCACACAUCGCCCGUCACUCUCCCCGACCUUAGUCUAAUAAACCCGUACUUAACAACACGGACGUUAUCAAGGGGAGGUAAGUCGUAACACAGUAAGUGUACCGGAAGGUGCACUUGGAAGAAC
rnacentral:ncRNA from 1 species